GACGAACGCUGGCGGCGUGCCUAAUACAUGCAAGUCGAACGCAGUUGCGAACGGGUGAGUAACUCGUAGGUAACUGCCUGGUAGCGGGGGAUAACUAUUGGAAACGAUAGCUAAUACCGCAUACUACCAGAUGGACCUGCGUUGUAUUAGCUAGUGGGGGGGGUAACGGCUCAAAAAGGAAACGAUACAUAGCAGAACUGAGAGGAUGACCAGCCACACGGGAAUUGAGACACGGUACAGACUCCUACGGGAGGCAGGAGUGGGGAAUAUUGCACAAUGGGCACAAGCCUGAUGCAGCAAUGCCGCGUGUUGGAAGAAGGCCUUCGGGUGGUAAAGCACUUUCAGCGGGGAGCGUUACCCGCAGAAGAAGCACCGGCUAACUCCGUGCCAGCAGCCGCGGUAAUAC
rnacentral:rRNA from 1 species